rnacentral:rRNA from 1 species
UACGGAGGGAGCUAGCGUUGUUCGGAAUUACUGGGCGUAAAGCGCACGUAGGCGGAUUUGUAAGUCAGGGGUGAAAUCCCGGGGCUUAACCUGGGAAUUGCAUUUCAAACUGGCCGACUAGAGUACGGUAGAGGGAGGUAGAAUUUCCUGUGUAGCGGUGAAAUGCGUAGAUAUAGGAAGGAAUACCAGUGGCGAAGGCGGCCUCCUGGAUCGAUACUGACGCUGAGGCGCGAAAGCGUGGGGAGCAAACAGG